UACGGAGGGGGCAAGCGUUGUCCGGAUUUACUGGGCGUAAAGGGCGCGUAGGCGGCCUCCGCAGGUCAAUUGUGAAAUCUCCGAGCUUAACUCGGAAAGGUCAACUGAUACUGCGGGGCUAGAGUGCGGAAGGGGCAACUGGAAUUCUUGGUGUAGCGGUGAAAUGCGUAGAUAUCAAGAGGAACACCUGCGGCGAAGGCGGGUUGCUGGGCCGACACUGACGCUGAGGCGCGAAAGCUAGGGGAGCGAACGGG
rnacentral:rRNA from 1 species